UACGGAGGUGGCAAGCGUUGCUCGGAAUCACUAGGCGUAAAGGGCGCGUAGGCGGGGAGGUAAGUCGGGUGUGAAAUCCCUCGGCCCAACUGAGGAACUGCGCCCGAGACUGCUUCUCUUGAGUCCCGGAGAGGAAGAUGGAAUUCCCGGUGUAGCGGUGAAAUGUGUAGAGAUCGGGAGGAACACCAGUGGCGAAGGCGAUCUGCUAGGCCUGACCUGACACUCAGCCGCGACAGCAUGGGGAGCGAACGGG
rnacentral:rRNA from 1 species